GCUAGUUCUAACGCUUAUGGCUGCGUAGCGUAUUUCAACGGUUUAUCUGGACGGACUCACGAUCUGUUCUUUCCUGAAUUCACUCCGACCAGCCGACCUGUUUUAUUAAUAUGAUCAGAUAGUGUCAUACUAAACAAUAAAUACGUGACCUACAAACGUCGUGACGAACAAGAUUAGUGCAAAAACUUGUCCAUCCACUGUGGAUCCCGACACAGCCGUUCGCUCGUUCUUGAUGACCGACUGCAAUUUUAAUCAGCUGGAACACACAAAUAUGAAUGGAUUUCUCUCUCUCCGCAUCGCCAUCUCUCUUACUCUGCCCUUAGACCAUUGCGAACAUAUUGAUGCAGUGCAAGGUUGUCGGUAAAACGCAUGCGCGCGCACUCCGAACAGUUUUUCCACCUGUUUCAUAUACGCCACACAACGUAUAUAGUGACCAUCCAGCGAGUGACAGUGGGACAAACAAUUCCUAGAGAGAGCGAACCUUGACCUCUCUGUUCGCCUCCUUCGCGGAUGAUUCGGGACUCUCGAUUCAUUCCAGCAUAUGGCACUAGUGUAGGACAUCGAAUGGAACAAUCUUGAACCAGCGAACGAGAGCCCUGAUUCGUUCAGUAGGCUUCAUCGGUGACGAACUGCAACUUCACAUUUGGGCAUCGCCUGCUGCGAGUGCUGAUAAAGGUCUAUCCCCACAAAACACGAAAUAAGGGCGAAAUUGCAAGUGCAGUGAUUAUCAGCGGAGCACGGAUCGUGUGUCAACAAUUACCGCCAGUGUGUCGUUCAAUUAUCGUUUGGCCUACUUAUCGAAAGUGUUGCAUAAGGGCGAUAGAAGAUAGGGGAAGCAUAUCGGAACGUGAGCGAACGUACUCGAGAGUAAGAGAAGCCCGAAACGGAGAGCACGAGUGUUGCAGCACUAGCAUGACUUCACCGAAAAUUUCAGCUGACAAGCCAGCAGCAACAAAUGCGCCGACUUCGAAGCAAUACGCGACCGAGGUCAGCAAUGGCGUUGUGGAGGCGGGAACUAGCGCUGCUUCGCCGCCCCUCGACGGGGCACGGGGGGCCGAAACGUAUGGAUUUUUCAGCUGGCUGAAGGUCUUCCGUUUUGCCAACCUGAUGAUCAGGCAGGGGUGUUAAACAGGCCAAAUGAUAAAUAUGAUUCCUCUUCAACGGUAGAAGGUGUGUACUAGAAGAAUGCCAAUUGCAAUAAGAUUGUGUCACAUUAGCUAAGAAGUGUUACUUUCUUAGGUUUAAUUCUAAGUAGUACCUAUAAAUAAACAAAAAAACAAUCCUAAUAAGUAAACACCAGAGAGUUUGAAAAACAUGAUUGUUAAUAAAAAUACAGAUUCUAUCAAUAAAUUAUUCUAUUCAGCAUAACGUAAAAA